UCUGCCCGGGCAUAAAAAACCGAAACCGAAGACCGAAGCCGAAAUAACCGAGACCGAAACCGAAAUACAUGCUAAAUCGGUCUUCGGUCAUCACUUCGGUCUUAGUAACCAGGUGACCGAAAUAAUCUGGUACCGUUCGGUUGUUGACAGCGAGGAACCGAAGCGACCGAAGCGACCGAUAGUUUCAGGCCCAGCCCAUCUAGAAUUUUGCUAGCUCCACCCUCCACGCCAGCCCAACUUCUCACUCUGGCUUCCUUCCCCAUUCGGCCACUCGUUCUCCACUCCUCUCGACCCUCGACAGCAGGACGCCGGACCUGCCCUAGGCCGCGCCGCCGCCUCAUCCUCAACCCCAGCCGCCUGGAACUGCGAACGCCGCCGCCACGCCACCUUGCCGCCACCGUCCGGUAGUCCGGCCGACCGGCCAGCACUCCAGCAGCAUCUCCUUCCUCGCCCCAUCUCCAACUCCGCGACCGGCCGGCACCACGUGACCUCUGGGAUCCGGCGACGCGGAGAGCGACACGAUGGCAUCCGAAUCCGAGGAUGAGCUGAGCCAGUAUGUUCAUGAGGAUGAGUAUGAAACCAUGAGAUUGAGACUUGCUAUUUGAUUUCCGGAUGACUGUGAGCUACUGCCAUAUUCUGUUGCUCUACCGUAACAUGUGGUGCAGUUGUGCUACACUACUGCUAGUUUUCCCACCUGUGUGCUCCAGUUUUUAUAUACGUGUGCUUCCAUGUUG